CGGUAAGGCCCCUUCGGGGGUACACGAGCGGCGAACGGGUGAGUAACACGUGAGCAAUCUGCCCCUGUCUCUGGGAUAACCACUGGAAACGGUGGCUAAUACCGGAUAUGACCUCCCUUCGCAUGUUGGGUGGUGGAAAAGUCCGCUGGACAGGGAUGAGCUCGCGGCCUAUCAGCUUGUUGGUGGGGUAAUGGCCUACCAAGGCGACGACGGGUAGCCGGCCUGAGAGGGUGACCGGCCACACUGGGACUGAGACACGGCCCAGACUCCUACGGGAGGCAGCAGUGGGGAAUAUUGGACAAUGGGCGAAAGCCUGAUCCAGCAACGCCGCGUGAGGGAUGACGGCCUUCGGGUUGUAAACCUCUUUCAGCAGGGACGAAGCGAAAGUGACGGUACCUGCAGAAGAAGGACCGGCCAACUACGUGCCAGCAGCCGCGGUAAUACGUAGGGUCCGAGCGUUGUCCGGAAUUAUUGGGCGUAAAGGGCUCGUAGGCGGUUUGUCACGUCGGGAGUGAAAACUCAGGGCUUAACCCUGAGCGUGCUUCCGAUACGGGCUGACUAGAGGGAUGCAGGGGAGAACGGAAUUCCUGGUGUAGCGGUGGAAUGCGCAGAUAUCAGGAGGAACACCGGUGGCGAAGGCGGUUCUCUGGGCAUUUCCUGACGCUGAGGAGCGAAAGCAUGGGGAGCGAACAGGAUUAGAUACCCUGGUAGUCCAUGCCGUAAACGUUGGGCGCUAGGUGUGGGGACCUUCCACGGUUUCCGUGCCGCAGCUAACGCAUUAAGCGCCCCGCCUGGGGAGUACGGCCGCAAGGCUAAAACUC
rnacentral:rRNA from 1 species